GAUGAACGCUGGCGGCGUGCCUAAUACAUGCAAGUCGAGCGAACAGACGAGGAGCUUGCUUCUCUGAUGUUAGCGGCGGACGGGUGAGUAACACGUGGAUAACCUACCUAUAAGACUGGGAUAACUUCGGGAAACCGUAGCUAAUACCGGAUAAUAUAUUGAACCGCAUGGUUCAAAAGUGAAAGACGGUCUUGCUGUCACUUAUAGAUGGAUCCGCGCCGCAUUAGCUAGUUGGUAAGGUAACGGCUUACCAAGGCAACGAUGCGUAGCCGACCUGAGAGGGUGAUCGGCCACACUGGAACUGAGACACGGUCCAGACUCCUACGGGAGGCAGCAGUAGGGAAUCUUCCGCAAUGGGCGAAAGCCUGACGGAGCAACGCCGCGUGAGUGAUGAAGGUCUUCGGAUCGUAAAACUCUGUUAUUAGGGAAGAACAAAUGUGUAAGUAACUAUGCACAUCUUGACGGUACCUAAUCAGAAAGCCACGGCUAACUACGUG
rnacentral:rRNA from 1 species